rnacentral:lncRNA from 1 species
UUGAAAAAUUUAUUCACACUCAAUGGAUUUUAUUCCUUCAGGUGAAUCAUCUAGUGUCCAUACACUAUUGAUUUUCAUGGACUUUAAUUUGGAUUUAAUGGCUCCAAGCUACUUCUCAGAGUUAGACCACUGCAUUGCAUUUACUUUAUUGGGCUCCGAGUUGAUCAAAUCAAAUCUGGUUCUGUAGGUUUACUAGAUUAUGUUGGUUCAUUUUCUACCAGUCAAACUUUCAAGUUCAACUUGAUAGGCAUCAGUUCCUUCUCUAAGAAACUCUUUUUCAAAAGGAAUGCCCUACUGCUGAUUAGCAUCUAUGUUCUUCAGCAUGAUAGAAUUAGUAACCCUUAAACAACUAUUGGAUCAUGAAUCAAGUUUAUCUAUAUGCAAACUUUUGACAUAGGUCG